rnacentral:rRNA from 1 species
AUUGAACGCUGGCGGCAGGCUUAACACAUGCAAGUCGAGCGGAGAGAGGUAGCUUGCUACUGAUCUUAGCGGCGGACGGGUGAGUAAUGCUUAGGAAUCUGCCUAUUAGUGGGGGACAACAUUUCGAAAGGAAUGCUAAUACCGCAUACGUCCUACGGGAGAAAGCAGGGGAUCUUCGGACCUUGCGCGAAUAGAUGAGCCUAAGUCGGAUUAGCUAGUUGGGGGGGUAAAGGCCUACCAAGGCGACGAUCUGUAGCGGGUCUGAGAGGAUGAUCCGCCGCACGGGGACUGAGACACGGCCCAGACUCCGACGGGAGGCAGUAGUGGGGAAUAUUGGACAGUGGGCGGAUGCGUGGUCCAGCCAUGCCGCGUGUGUGAGGAAGGACGUUUGGUUGUGAAGCACUUUAAGCGAGGAGGAGGCUACCUGGAUUAAUACUCUAGGAUAGUGGACGUUACUCGCAGAAUAAGCACCGGCUAACUCUGUGCCAGCGGCAGCAGUAACAC